UGUUUAGAACUCUCAAUUUCUUCACACUCUGUAGGGCCACGUAUGCAUACAGGUGCAAUAAAUCCUUCUGUGUACACUUUCCGUCAUAUAAUAAUGUCCCCAGAAAAGCUGAACCCAGGCUAUUCAGACAUAUUGGCUGCUUGAUAUUUGUCACUCCCCCAUAACUGCAUAAUUUCUAGGUGCUAAACUCAUUUGUGAAGAUAGAGGUAUGGUGGAGAUGACACCCACUAGUAGCAGCAAGUGGUAAAACUGAAAGAGCUUUCUUCUACUCAUUUUACAGUGUGAUGUAUUGGUGUUAUGUUAAUUAUUGAUUGCCUCUUCUAUUUUUAGAGGUGUUGAGGUUGUUUUCUUCUGCUUCUAUGUAGCUUCCUAGCCCCUCUCCAGACAAUCUUUGUUCCUGUGACAAGUCAUAGUAAAAAAAGACAGUUGGCUGAUUUCCUCCCACAUCCCGCAGCCUGAAGUUAUGUUCACUAUGGGUCACCAAGGGAAUUCCAAGGAAAGGUGUUCAAGCAAAGAUCAGCAUGCCUUUUGUGGCACUGUCUCAUAUUGUCUUGUUUCCCUCCAGAGUUAUGAGUGAUCUUUAAUUUAGCAAGAAGUAUGGUGCGUCCGUCCUUGCAAAAAUGAGACUCAGAAUUCAUUGCACCUGUUACUUGGUUUCAGCUUUCAAAGCUAUAUCAAAGCAAAAAAGCCAAAAGAAAAAUAUAUAAGCAAUCUGAUAUUUUUGUACUAUAAUAUAUUCUUUUAAAAUGAUGUCACUGUUAUUUUACUGAUGCAUUCUUGUCCAGAGUAUCAUGGGUGUUUACUACUGAUUGCUUGAGUUAAGCAGUAAUUGCAGAUAAUUAUUCUAUCUGCAAUAAACUGACCAGGGAUUGAAGCAAUAAGGGAUAGAGGGCUAGAUUUAAGAAGAAAUAAUUUUGAAGUUUGAUACAGCCAGAAGCAAAGAGGGAAGUAGUGAGGAAAAGUAAGUUGUACUUUUCUAACAGCAGUGGUUAAAAAUUCACUACAGUUCCUAACUCUACAAUCAUCUGAUGUGAUAAAAUUCUGCUUUGUGUUCCCAAAACUCCUUGUUAUAGGACCUUCAGCAACUCAAGACUAUAGCACCCAAAGACCAUUUUUCAUAUGAUUCACUAUAGCGUGGAAACUUCCUGUGUGCUGGUUUUGUAGACAAGGAAUUCUGGUCAAAGGUUGGACUCAAUUAUCGUAGAGGUCUUUUUUGACCUAAAUGAUUCUGUGAUUACAUGACUCCUGAAGCACUGAGUACCUAAAAGAAGUACACCUCCUACCAAAAACAUCUGAUUCAUCUUUCAUCUAGACCAAGAUGAUUUUACAAGUUGUUUCUUGCCCAAGGUUAUGGAAGCUGGCUAUGAUGGAAGUGUGAAAUGGAUGCAGCUCUUCCAGACCAAACUCAGACUCCCUAGUUUGUCUGCGUGAUGACUCCUUUGGAGACCUUGCACUGAAGCACUACAGUUUCUCCACAGUCUUUUUGAAUUUGAGACACAAAACCAGAGUACUCUGCAGCCAACCUGCUGGCCACACUUCUUUUAAGAUGGAGGGACUGUCUCAACUAUUGGAGAAUUUAACACAGGAAAGCUGGUGUGGGUGUCUUCAUGAGCUGUGAGGGGUAGUGCACUUCAGAAAUGUGGAAAAAAUUAUUUCAGGAUUUGUAGAUCUCACCAUCUUACUGACUACAUAUAAAACUGAAAUUUACAGGACUCUCAGGUCAUCAAGGACAAUAUGAUGGUUUUCAUUUUGUUCAAAAAAGAAUCAACGAUAGUAUUUACAGUGCUAUUAAGGCACAGUGAAAAGUCAAUAGUCCUAUAUUUUCAAUAAGGAUCUUAUUUGGUCAAUAAUGGCAGCCUUGGUGUGUAUUAGUUUAGCUGCUGAUAAAAAUCACUGAAGACAGAGUAUUUACUGUAGGUGGGUUCUGCUGAGCUUAAGUGAUAUGUGUAGGUUUCCAGUCUCUCUAUGUCUAACUUUAAUAUUAUUUUGGGACCAGUUCUGUGUAUAAGCCUAAAUUGUUAUACAUUUGUAGAAAUUUUAUAUUAGAAAAUAUAGACUCACACAAAAAUAAUUAUCUUAACUGGGUCCAUGCUUCAUAUAAUUUUCGAUUUGUCAGUUCUUUCUUCUCUUGCUGAUGGAGUGCUCCCACUGUUAAAAGUAAAACCCCUAUUGAUGCUGCCAAGAACAAGAGAGAAGGUGUUUUGCUUUAUGAGCAAGCAUAGAGAUAACUGGUUGAUUUUUAGGGCCCUGACAAGACAAUUAACACAGAGAGAAAGUGGGGAAAUCUAGACUGAUAUGCUCUGCGAAAAGCAUCUGCCUUACACAUUGGUGGAAAAGGGAUAGCUGGAUGCUAUGCAGGUAAUAAUUUUACUCCUUUGUAGAUCAGUGCUUCCUUUCUCAGUGGAUUCUAUUAAAGUGCGACAUACUGGAGACAAGCAAAAUACUAGCAAGCAUAAAACACCUUGCUUUUAAGCAUAGAUCGUUUUUCCUUCUGGUGAUUAUUCUGAUGAAAUCUGUGUUCUUCAUUUUCCACAAAGUUUUAAAUUAGAAUCCAUAACAUCUCUAAAUUUGCCAAAGAGCAAACUGUAUCUCCAAGAAGUAUUUGCAAGAGAUCAAAACUCCUUCAGGUUUACUCAUCCCAAAAAAUGUCAUGGUAAACCAAAUGGAACCAUGUUCACUAACCAAUCAUAAUUUUCUUUACAUUUCUAGUUACUUGCUACAGACAGCUGUUAACAAUACUUUGUUUGUAAAUGAAACAUGGUGUAAAAUCAGUCCUGUGAGCUAAGGCUCUCAGAUUCUCUCCCUGCUACUGUUGUUGGUCGAGUGCUGUGUGGACUUAAGCACAGCACUUGAGGAAAUUUUAUAAGCUCUGAUGCAGUGCAUUUGGCAAAAACUACUAUAUUUGUUAAGAUGAUGUAUUUUGAAAAUGUCAACCCCUACAUUUCUUUUUUCCCUUAAAACUGUUUUUUUUUUUUUAGGUACUGAUGUAAUAGCAUAUUUUAAUGCUUGUUUUCAGAUUUUCCACACUGAAAUAUGUUACCUUGUAGCUGGAGAAGUAGUUUUUCUAUAUCAGUACUUGCUCCAGGAAAAUAUUACCAAAGGAAAGUUUUCAAUUUGCAAUAUUAAGCUGAGGUCUUCUUACUUCAUUGCAACAAAAUAAUGUUAUGAUGGAAGCUGGCCUUCCUUCUUAUGGCUUCAAAUUUUUAUUCAGUCAGAUUGGACAGGAAUUUUAACCUUAUUCUUGAGAUGUCUCUGAGGAAAAUCCUACUAAACCUUAUAACACUAAAGGGGUAGGAUUGGUGAGUUUUCUUUCAAGCAGCAACCCAGAAAAAAGACUGUCUUUUAAGCUGAUUCUAGCUCUGUUGUAUGAGUUAAACAUCAACAUAAUUUUACAUGAGUCAAAAUGUAUCUGAAAAAAUAAAAAGGUGGCGUUUUUGGCUCCUGCCUGCACAUUCUCAGUUAUUGAGUGGGAGAAGAGCAUUUUCCAGUCAAUCCCAUGAUACUUUUGUUCUCUACUUUUGCAUAGUUUUUGUUGCCUGGGAAGGCGAGGGGGAAGCCUGCAGCCUUCAGAACAGCUAGCACAGGCAUGUGAAUUAAUAUAUACACCCCUACUAAGCUACUGAACAAUGACAUUUUAAAAUUAUAUCUUUUGAGUCCUGUUUACAUUCUUAUGCUUUACCAAAUGAUCCUCUGUGAAUCAGAGGAGGCCCAUCUUUCAUUGCCUAGCAUAUCCCAAUGGAAUGCUGCUCACCAAUUUUAGCAAUACACUUUUUAAUUUUGUUUUUAGCAUCAGGCUGGAUAUGAUCGAAUACCCUCCAACUCACAAGUGCUUUUCUAGCUGCUAGCUGGGUUUUCCUGCUGGAGCGACAGCCUGAUGCACAUUCUCAGACUUGCUGAUGAGUCACCAGACACAAGAGGACUCUGGGAUGGAGCCCAAGCCUGCCACUGGCCCGUGCAGCUGAAAGUCAAUACUGGUUGCUAUUUAGAUCAACGGUAUAAAUGCCAGUGUAUUUGCAACAUUUUAAAGGAUGGUUCAGAAAGCUAGAAGUAAAAAAAAAAAUAAAAAAAUUCCUUUCUCCGAUCCUAAUGCUAGAUUCACAGUGUUUACAAACAGCUGUUGUAACAGACCUAAAGAAGCUCCAAAGAAAUAUGUGACACAUCUGAGAAUCUGACAAUCAAAGUAUUUGUUUGAGUGCAUCCCUUGUCCCUUGUAUGGCUUGGUGUAACUGGAGAUGUGGUCCUGUGUAUUUGUCGCUGUGGCAGCUGUGUGCAUGGCAGCAGCAGCAGCAAUUUGCUGCUUUAUUUACUGCAGCAAAUAGAAAGUGAUCCUGAAGACAGGGGAAUUCAGACAGCAGAGAGAAAGGAGUAAAGCCCACAGGAAAAAAAAUUAUAUAAAUAACUUAUAAAUAAGGAGUCUAGUAGGGGUUCAUGGAACAACUUGGGUGUUAAAGGUAACAACACAACACUUGAAAACAGGUAUUGCACAGCCCCAUUUAUCACUUCAGAGAGGUUUUAGGAAAACAGCAGUCCCACAUGACUCCUACACUCCAUUUCUUCCUCACUUUGGCUGUUCCUACACCCACCUUCCAUCUCACUCUGACAUCCUAUAGGGAGAACUGGCUUUUGUAGUCCCUUCUGGGGCUGAAGGUAAAGCAAAGACUUCAGAUCUCUUCCCCAGAGAAAUAGACUACAGUGUUAAGAGCAGAAAAAUUCACAGAAGCAACAUAUUACAGAAAUUAUGCAGAGUGAACACAAAACUACAUGCAGUUGUUUCAUUAAGAAAACACUUCAAGCCAACUGAAUUGUGGUCAGGCAAGGGAUGAUUUUCAGUGCAAAGAACAUAUUAGGAGAGGAAGUGGCUGUACACAAAAAAUAUCACACCUUACCUGUUCCCAGGAGCAACUGCUGGAAUCCUUGUAUUAUAAACUGUUGUUCCUAAAGGACACGUAUCAAUGGCAAUGUCCUUGUGCAGGUAAUUCUAAUUUUUAUUGAACUUUAUGUUUUGUGCAGGGCUUUAAAGAUACCAUCUUUAGGUUACAUUCUUUAUAUAACAUAAAUGGCUUAUGUUUGCCCUACUAACAAAAACUCAUAGCUUUUAAAAUGCUUGGAAAAAGAUUUCUGGCAUUUUUUACAUAAGUAAAGUUUAGAGAAAAUAGAUGU